rnacentral:rRNA from 1 species
GUGGUAACACAAGCUAAGCUGGGGACGGCAGCGGGGGCCCCGGGGAGAGUUCUCUCUUCUUGUUAACAAGCGCACUGACCCUGGAAUCGGAUCGACCGGAGAUAGGGUUGGGGGCUUGGAAAAGGCGGUUAAUUUUUGACCGCUCCGGUGCGCUCUCGAUGUCCCAUGAAAACUCAGCGGAGUGACUUAUUCGCACCCCUGGUCGUACUCAUAACCGCAUCAGGUCUCCAAGGUUAGCAGCCUCUGGUCUCUGGAGCAAAGUAGGUAAGGGAAGUCGGCAAAUUAGAUCCGUAACUUUGGGAAAAGGAUUGGCUCUGAGGGUUGGGUGUAGGGGUCCUUGUGCUGAUGUUUGAGCUGAGCAACAGCUACUUGACGCCUCUGGUGAAUAGUGGCUUGCUGCAUGGUGAGAACUGCUGGACAAGGAAUGUCUUCUGGGGCUGUCCUUGCGCAAUGAACAACUGACUCAGAACUGAAGCGGACAAGGGGAAUCCGACUGUUUAAUUAAAACAAAGCAUUGUGACGGCUGCAAACGGUGUUGACACAAUGUGAUUUCUGCCCAGUGCUCUGAAUGUCAAGGUGAAGAAAUUCACUCAAGCGCGGGUAAACGGCGGGAGUAACUAUGACUCUCUUAAGGUAGCCAAAU